rnacentral:rRNA from 1 species
CAGCCGCCACGGUAAUACCAGCACCUCGAGUGGUCAGGAGGUUUAUUGGGCCUAAAGCAUCCGUAGCCGGUUGCAUAAGUUUUCGGUUAAAUCUAUGCGCUUAACGUAUAGGCCGCCGAAAAUACUGUGCAGCUAGGGAGUGGGAGAGGUACACGGUACUCGAUAGGAAGGGGUAAAAUCCUUUGAUCUAUUGAUGACCACCUGUGGCGAAGGCGGUGUACCAGAACACGUUCGACGGUGAGGGAUGAAAGCUGGGGGAGCAAACCGGAUUAGAUACCCGCGUAGUCCCUGUCUCUUAUAC